rnacentral:rRNA from 1 species
CCUACGGGCGGCAGCAGUGAGGAAUAUUGGUCAAUGGGCGCGAGCCUGAACCAGCCAAGUAGCGUGAAGGAUGACUGCCCUACGGGUUGUAAACUUCUUUUAUAAGGGAAUAAAUUGAGGCACGUGAGUCUUUUCGUAUGUACUUUAUGUAUAAGGAUCGGCUAACUCCGUGCCAUCCGCCGCGGUAAUACGGAGGGUCCGAGCGUUAUCGGGUUGUAUUGGGUUUAAAGGAAGUGUAGAUGGGGUGUUAAGUAAAUUGUGAAAGUUUGCGGCGCAACCGUAAAAGUGCAAUUGAUAUUGGCAGCCUUGAGUACAGUUGAGGUAGGCGGAAUUCGUGGUGUAGCGGUGAAAUGCUUAGAUAUCACGAAGAACUCCGAUUGCGAAGGCAGCCUACUAAACUGCCACUGACAUUGAUGCUCGAAAGUGUGGGUAUCAAACAGGAUUAGAUACCCGAGUAGUC